GAUGAACGCUGGCGGCAUGCCUAACACAUGCAGGUCGAUCGGUAAGGCCCUUCGGAGUACACGAGAGGCGGACGGCUGAGUAACGCGUAGGAACACACCCUGCAGUGAGGGAUAAGACACCGAAAGGUGUUCUAAUACCGCCUACGGGCUUCGGAUUAAAGCAUUUAUGCGCUGAAGGAGUGGCCUGCGUCAUAUUAGAUAGUUGGUGAGGUAAUGGCUCACCAAGUCAAUGAUGAGUAGCUGGUCUGAGAGGAUGAUCAGCCAGACUGGAACUGAGACACGGUCCAGACUCCUACGGGAGGCAGCAGUGAGGAAUAGUUCACAAUGAGCGAAAGCUUGAUGGAGCAAUGCCGCGUGCAGGAUGAAGGCCCUCGGGUUGUAAACUGCUUUUAGAAGAGAAGAUUAUGACGGUAACUUAUGAAUAAGGGACGGCUAGCUACGUG
rnacentral:rRNA from 1 species